ACACUAUUUGUAGCAUCCUUCCCUCAAAGUGACUUGAAAAUGCGCCGUGGUGCAAAAUGAGAACUAUGGCAACCGAUGGGAUGCUACAGUGACAUGUGUCGUAUUCGGUCUUGCAGCGUUGAAAUGGAGAUGGCUGUGGAGGUGAAGAAUUUACCUGCGAGGAUGGGAAGCACCUCCAUUGCUCUCAUGUCCUCAUUUCUCCUAAAACCUGGGAAGAAAAAGAAAAGAGGAAGACAAAAUGAUGAACACAGAGGACAUCUGUAAUCGACAACAUGGCGACAAUUUCACUUGAUUCAAUCAAUUUGCCAUCAACAUGGAUCAAGUAGUGUAUAUGCAGCCAGAAGAUACAAAAAUAAUGCACUGAGCAGUCAUGGUCAAUAUAUUUGUAUGCUCUUAAAAUAAAGCCAUGCAAAAAUCA